CGCCAGGUACCGCCUAAUCGAUCACUCGUGAGAGCGAUCGUGCCGGGAACCCAAGUUUCUCUGGGGUGAAUCCCGUCGGAGCGCGAUAUGCGUGCCGCCGGGUAGGGCUGAUCUUCCCAGCCCGAACCCGUCAGCUAACUCGGUCGGCGGAUGAACGGAAGAAAC
rnacentral:sRNA from 2 species